rnacentral:rRNA from 1 species
GUGUCAGCAGCCGCGGUAAUACGGGGGGGGCAAGCGUUGUUCGGAAUUACUGGGCGUAAAGGGCUCGUAGGCGGCCAACUAAGUCAGACGUGAAAUCCCCAGGCUCAACCUGGGAACUGCGUCUGAUACUGGAUGGCUUGAAUCCGGGAGAGGGAUGCAGAAUUCCAGGUGUAGCGGUGAAAUGCGUAGAUAUCUGGAGGAAUACCGGUGGCGAAGGCGGCAUCCUGGACCGGCAUUGACGCUGAGGAGCGAAAGCCAGGGGAGCAAACGGGAUUAGAUACCCCCGUAGUCC